GCAAACUUGGUCAUUUAGAGGAAGUAAAAGUCGUAACAAGGUUUCCGUAGGUGAACCUGCGGAAGGAUCAUUAAUGAGAGAUUACCAGCCUCUUUUAAAAAAAAAUAAAUAAAAAAUUAAAAGGGGAGUGGACCUCAUUAGUCCUUUGCAGGCCCUAUUUAGGGGCUCUUUUGACUUUCUGCUUCGGUGGGGUUAUCCCACCGGAACAACUUCAAAACUCUGAUCAAAAAAAUCGUUCUGUCCGAGUAACCUUUUAUAAUAUGAAAAAAAAACUUUCAACAACGGAUCUCUUGGUUCUGGCAUCGAUGAAGAACGCAGC
rnacentral:misc_RNA from 1 species